rnacentral:tRNA from 1 species
GCCUGGGUGGCUCAGUCGGUUAAGCAUCUGACUCUUGGUUUCAGCUCAGGUCAUGAUCUCACAACUUUGUGGGCUCAAGCCCCACAUCAGGCU